GAUGAACGCUGGCGGUAUGCUUUACACAUGCAAGUCAUACGGAAGUUAGUUUCGGCUAACUUCAGUGGCGGACGGGUGAGUAACACGUGAGAAUUCGCCUUUAGGAGGGGGAUAACAGGGGGAAACACCUGCUAAAACCCCAUAUGCCUUCGGGUCAACAGAGAAAUCUGCCUAAAGAGAAGCUCGCGGCUGAUUAGCUAGUUGGUGGGGUAAAGGCCUACCGAGGCGACGAUCAGUAGCUGGUCUGAGGGGAUGAUCAGCCACGCUGGAACUGAGACGCGGUCCAGACUCCUACGGGAGGCAGCAGUGAGGAAUUUUCUGCAAUGGGCGAAAGCCUGACAGAGCAAUACCGCGUGAGGGAAGAAGGCUUACUGAGUUGUAAACCUCUGUUACCUAAGGAGGAAGAUCUGACGUUACUUAGGAGACGAAGCAUCGGCUAACUUCGUGCCAGCAGCCGCCGCGGUAA
rnacentral:rRNA from 1 species